rnacentral:miRNA from 1 species
UGCCACACUGAAGAUUUUACUG